CCCUUAGAUGUUCUGGGCUGCACGCGCGCUACACUGAUGCGCUCAACGAGUUUUAACCUUGCCUGGAAAGGUUGGGUAAUCUUUUUAAAAUGCAUCGUGAUGGGGAUAGAUUAUUGCAAUUAUUAAUCUUCAACGAGGAAUUCCUAGUAAGCGCGAGUCAUCAGCUCGUGCUGAUUACGUCCCUGCCCUUUGUACACACCGCCCGUCGCUCCUACCGAUUGAGUGCUCAGGUGAAUAAUUCGGACUGCAGCAAUGUUUGGAUCCCGAACGUUGCAGCGGAAAGUUUAGUGAACCUUAUCACUUAGAGGAAGGAGAAGUCGUAACA
rnacentral:rRNA from 1 species